CACGUAGGGUGCGAGCGUUGUCCGGAAUUAUUGGGCGUAAAGAGCUCGUAGGCGGUGUGUCGCGUCGUCCGUGAAAACCUGCAGCUUAACUGUGGGCUUGCGGUCGAUACGGGCAUCACUGGAGUUCGGCAGGGGAGACUGGAAUUCCUGGUGUAGCGGUGAAAUGCGCAGAUAUCAGGAGGAACACCGGUGGCGAAGGCGGGUCUCUGGGCCGAUACUGACGUUGAGGAGCGAAAGCGUGGGGAGCGAACAGG
rnacentral:rRNA from 1 species